GCGCCACCUGCUUCCUGCGGCAAGUGCAUGGCGGCUUCCUGUUUACAUUUUUGAACUCCGCAUGCUUUCAACUUCCAAGCUUGACGCUGUUGUUCAUGACAUUGUGAAAAAUAUAUGGAUAUAUAUGGGUGGUGAUGAUAUUUAGCAUCAUCCGGAAAGUCAAGCAUCUAUAUUUGGUCUACGACAAUUUGCCUACUGGUCAUCAAAGAUGCUGGAAUUUUUUCAAAACGCCAACUACACGUGCAAGCUUACUUUGAAGAUGUUCUGUGUGACUAUCCCAUAGCAUGAAUUCAUUAAAGUAGACUCCAAGCAUUCUGUGUUAGUAAUUUCUAUGGCAUUCCCUCCUAAGUCCUUUUUACCUGGCUAACCACUGUCUCGGCAUAACUUGACAUGCUUGCAGAUAUUGAACAGCUGAUGGUGCGACAAGAAUCCCAGUAUCUUCCUUGCUGUACAUUUUGAAACAAUUCUUGAACAUACAAUUUCCGUCGUGAAGUGGUACAUCC